rnacentral:rRNA from 1 species
UACGUAGGGGGCGAGCGUUGUCCGGAAUCAUUGGGCGUAAAGAGCUCGUAGGCGGUUCAGCAAGUCGGCUGUGAAAUUCCGAGGCUCAACCUCGGAACUGCAGUCGAUACUGCUGUGACUCGAGUCCGGUAGAGGAGAAUGGAAUUCCAGGUGUAGCGGUGAAAUGCGUAGAUAUCUGGAGGAACAUCGGUGGCGAAGGCGGCAUCCUGGACCGGUAUUGACGCUGAGGCGCGAAAGCCAGGGGAGCAAACGGG